GUCGCCGUUAUGGCUGUCGUCAGCUCGUGUCGUGAGAUGUGUGGCUUAAGUCCAGCAACGAGUGCAACCAUUAUCAUUUAGUUGCCAGCGCGUACUGGCGUGAACUCUAGAGAGACUGCCCGGGUUAACCGUGAGGAAGGCGGAGAUGACGUCAAGUCCUCAUGGCCGUUAUAUCCAGGGCUACACACGUGCUACAAUCAUAAAUACAGAGGGCAGCGAGCCGGUGACGGCGAGCGAAUCCCUAAAGUUUAUCUCAGUCCGGAUUGGAGUCAUGCAACUCGACUCCAUGAAGUUGGAAUCGCAUAGUAAUCGCGGAUCAGCAUGCCGCGGUGAAUAUGUUCCCGGGCCUUGUACACACCGCCCGUCACACCAUGG
rnacentral:rRNA from 1 species